UGCCGCGUGCAGGAUGAAGGCCUUCGGGUUGUAAACUGCUUUUGUACGGAACGAAACGGUGAGCUCUAAUACAGUUUGCUAAUGACGGUACCGUAAGAAUAAGCACCGGCUAACUACGUGCCAGCAGCCGCGGUAAUACGUAGGGUGCGAGCGUUAAUCGGAAUUACUGGGCGUAAAGCGUGCGCAGGCGGUGAUGUAAGACAGAUGUGAAAUCCCCGGGCUCAACCUGGGACCUGCAUUUGUGACUGCAUCACUGGAGUACGGUAGAGGGGGAUGGAAUUCCGCGUGUAGCAGUGAAAUGCGUAUAUCUGCGGAGGAACACCGAUGGCGAAGGCAAUCCCCUGGACCUGUACUGACGCUCAUGCACGAAAGCGUGGGGAGCAAACAGGAUUACAUACCCUGGUAGUCCACGCCCUAAACGAUGUCCACUGGUUGUUGGGUCUUCACUGACUCAUUAACGAACCUGACGCGUGAAGUUGACCGCCUGGGGAGUACGGCCGCAAGGUUGAAACUCACAGGAAUUGACGGGGACCCGCACAAUCGGUGGAUGAUGUGGUUUAAUUCCAUGCAACGCGAAGAACCUUACCCACCUUUGACAUGUAC
rnacentral:rRNA from 1 species